CUCUUUCUCCGUAUUCCUACGAACAGUUUGCGUCAUGAAGCCAGCCUUCAGCGAACUGGGCGGUUACUGUUUUUGUGAAAGGCAGUGGGACUUGCUCCGGAACCGUCAUCAAAAGAGGCUGCUAUGGAAACUGCUCACUCUGUGUUCCAGUAAAAGCUGGCAAGGCAACCUGCAAGAGUCUAGGAGGUUACUGUUUUCGAAUGAGUGGACGACGCAACUGCAAUGGCCGAGUAGAAGAUUCUGCGACUUGUAAGGUCGCCGGACGCAAAUGCUGUAUUCCUACUGUUACUACUUUUACUACUUUUACUACUUUUGCUGAAUAUUAAGAAGAACACUGAGACCAUAUUCAUCCUGAUUGCCUGCUGAUGACUAUCCAUUACAACGAAGAAGCUUCCACGAGUGUAGUUCUUCACUUUCACUGCUGUCCAUCGGUUCCUUUUGCCUAAAAGGAAUAAUACCUUAUUUCAUAUCCUGUUUUACUUUCCUUAGUUUGUCACACAAUAGUUUUCGUUUCUGAAACGCCAUAGGACUUAGAAAUAACUCCUGGGUCUAAAUCAACAUUUGUAAAUGCUACUGCAAGAUGGUAUUGUAACUGGUCUCAAAAUAAAUUUGGUUUUCACUUCAACAA